rnacentral:rRNA from 1 species
UGGACGCAGCCUGAUGCAGCCAUGCCGCGUGUAUGAAGAAGGCCUUCGGGUUGUAAAGUACUUUCAGCGGGGAGGAAGGGAGUAAAGUUAAUACCUUUGCUCAUUGACGUUACCCGCAGAAGAAGCACCGGCUAACUCCGUGCCAGCAGCCGCGGUAA